AUUGAACGCUGGCGGCAGGCCUAACACAUGCAAGUCGAGCGGAUGAAGGGAGCUUGCUCCUGGAUUCAGCGGCGGACGGGUGAGUAAUGCCUAGGAAUCUGCCUGGUAGUGGGGGAUAACGUCCGGAAACGGGCGCUAAUACCGCAUACGUCCUGAGGGAGAAAGUGGGGGAUCUUCGGACCUCACGCUAUCAGAUGAGCCUAGGUCGGAUUAGCUAGUUGGUGGGGUAAAGGCCUACCAAGGCGACGAUCCGUAACUGGUCUGAGAGGAUGAUCAGUCACACUAGAACUGAGACACGGUCCAGACUCCUACGGGAGGCAGCAGUUGGGAAUAUUGGACAAUGGGCGAAAGCCUGAUCCAGCCAUGCCGCGUGUGUGAAGAAGGUCUUCGGAUUGUAAAGCACUUUAAGUUGGGAGGAAGGGCAGUAAGUUAAUACCUUGCUGUUUUGACGUUACCAACAGAAUAAGCACCGGCUAACUUCGUG
rnacentral:rRNA from 1 species